rnacentral:rRNA from 1 species
GAUGAACGCUGGCGGCGUGCUUAACACAUGCAAGUCGAACGGAAAGGCCCUGCUUUUGUGGGGUGCUCGAGUGGCGAACGGGUGAGUAACACGUGAGUAACCUGCCCUUGACUUUGGGAUAACUUCAGGAAACUGGGGCUAAUACCGGAUAGGAGCUCCUGCUGCAUGGUGGGGGUUGGAAAGUUUCGGCGGUUGGGGAUGGACUCGCGGCUUAUCAGCUUGUUGGUGGGGUAGUGGAUUACCAAGGCUUUGACGGGUAGCCGGCCUGAGAGGGUGACCGGCCACAUUAGGACUGAGGUACGGCCCAGACUCCUACGGGAGGCAGCAGUGGGGAAUAUUGCACAAUGGGCGGAAGCCUGAUGCAGCAGCGCCGCGUGCGGGAUGACGGCCUUCGGGUUGUAAACCGCUUCCGCCUGUGACGAAGCGUGAGUGACGGUAAUGGGUAAAGAAGCACCGGCUAACUACGUG